rnacentral:rRNA from 4 species
AGCGCAUACGGUGGAUGCCUUGGCAGUCAGAGGCGAUGAAAGACGUGGUAGCCUGCGAAAAGCUUCGGGGAGUCGGCAAACAGACUGUGAUCCGGAGAUGUCUGAAUGGGGGAACCCAGCCAUCAUAAGAUGGUUAUCUUACACUGAAUACAUAGGUGUAAGAGGCGAACCAGGGGAACUGAAACAUCUAAGUACCCUGAGGAAAAGAAAUCAACCGAGAUUCCCUUAGUAGUGGCGAGCGAACGGGGACCAGCCCUUAAGUUGUAUUGAGAUUAGCGGAACGCUCUGGAAAGUGCGGCCAUAGUGGGUGAUAGCCCUGUACGCGAAAAUCCCUUUGCAAUGAAAUCGAGUAGGACGGGGCACGAGAAACCUUGUCUGAAUAUGGGGGGACCAUCCUCCAAGGCUAAAUACUACUGACUGACCGAUAGUGAACCAGUACCGUGAGGGAAAGGCGAAAAGAACCGCGGAGAGCGGAGUGAAAUAGAUCCUGAAACCGUAUGCGUACAAGCAGUGGGAGCCCACUUUGUUGGGUGACUGCGUACCUUUUGUAUAAUGGGUCAGCGACUUAUUUUCAGUGGCGAGCUUAACCGAAUAGGGGAGGCGUAGCGAAAGCGAGUCUUAAUAGGGCGUCUAGUCGCUGGGAAUAGACCCGAAACCGGGCGAUCUAUCCAUGGGCAGGUUGAAGGUUGGGUAACACUAACUGGAGGACCGAACCGACUACCGUUGAAAAGUUAGCGGAUGACCUGUGGAUCGGAGUGAAAGGCUAAUCAAGCUCGGAGAUAGCUGGUUCUCCUCGAAAGCUAUUUAGGUAGCGCCUCAUGUAUCACUGUAGGGGGUAGAGCACUGUUUCGGCUAGGGGGUCAUCCCGACUUACCAAACCGAUGCAAACUCCGAAUACCUACAAGUGCCGAGCAUGGGAGACACACGGCGGGUGCUAACGUCCGUCGUGAAAAGGGAAACAACCCAGACCGUCAGCUAAGGUCCCAAAGUCAUGGUUAAGUGGGAAACGAUGUGGGAAGGCUUAGACAGCUAGGAGGUUGGCUUAGAAGCAGCCACCCUUUAAAGAAAGCGUAAUAGCUCACUAGUCGAGUCGGCCUGCGCGGAAGAUGUAACGGGGCUCAAACCAUGCACCGAAGCUACGGGUAUCACCUUUGGUGAUGCGGUAGAGGAGCGUUCUGUAAGCCUGUGAAGGUGAGUUGAGAAGCUUGCUGGAGGUAUCAGAAGUGCGAAUGCUGACAUGAGUAACGACAAUGGGUGUGAAAAACACCCACGCCGAAAGACCAAGGUUUCCUGCGCAACGUUAAUCGACGCAGGGUUAGUCGGUCCCUAAGGCGAGGCUGAAAAGCGUAGUCGAUGGAAAACAGGUUAAUAUUCCUGUACUUCUGGUUAUUGCGAUGGAGGGACGGAGAAGGCUAGGCCAGCCUGGCGUUGGUAGUCCAGGUUUAAGGUGGUAGGCUGAGAUCUUAGGUAAAUCCGGGAUCUUAAGGCCGAGAGCUGAUGACGAGUGUUCUUUUAGAACAUGAAGUGGUUGAUGCCAUGCUUCCAAGAAAAGCUUCUAAGCUUCAGGUAACCAGGAACCGUACCCCAAACCGACACAGGUGGUUGGGUAGAGAAUACCAAGGCGCUUGAGAGAACUCGGGUGAAGGAACUAGGCAAAAUGGCACCGUAACUUCGGGAGAAGGUGCGCCGGUGAGGGUGAAGCAUUUACUGCGUAAGCCCACGCCGGUCGAAGAUACCAGGCCGCUGCGACUGUUUAUUAAAAACACAGCACUCUGCAAACACGAAAGUGGACGUAUAGGGUGUGACGCCUGCCCGGUGCCGGAAGGUUAAUUGAUGGGGUUAGCGCAAGCGAAGCUCUUGAUCGAAGCCCCGGUAAACGGCGGCCGUAACUAUAACGGUCCUAAGGUAGCGAAAUUCCUUGUCGGGUAAGUUCCGACCUGCACGAAUGGCGUAACGAUGGCGGCGCUGUCUCCACCCGAGACUCAGUGAAAUUGAAAUCGCUGUGAAGAUGCAGUGUAUCCGCGGCUAGACGGAAAGACCCCGUGAACCUUUACUAUAGCUUUGCACUGGACUUUGAAUUUGCUUGUGUAGGAUAGGUGGGAGGCUUUGAAGCGUGGACGCCAGUCUGCGUGGAGCCAACCUUGAAAUACCACCCUGGCAACUUUGAGGUUCUAACUCAGGUCCGUUAUCCGGAUCGAGGACAGUGUAUGGUGGGUAGUUUGACUGGGGCGGUCUCCUCCUAAAGAGUAACGGAGGAGUACGAAGGUGCGCUCAGACCGGUCGGAAAUCGGUCGUAGAGUAUAAAGGCAAAAGCGCGCUUGACUGCGAGACAGACACGUCGAGCAGGUACGAAAGUAGGUCUUAGUGAUCCGGUGGUUCUGUAUGGAAGGGCCAUCGCUCAACGGAUAAAAGGUACUCCGGGGAUAACAGGCUGAUACCGCCCAAGAGUUCAUAUCGACGGCGGUGUUUGGCACCUCGAUGUCGGCUCAUCACAUCCUGGGGCUGAAGCCGGUCCCAAGGGUAUGGCUGUUCGCCAUUUAAAGUGGUACGCGAGCUGGGUUUAGAACGUCGUGAGACAGUUCGGUCCCUAUCUGCCGUGGACGUUUGAGAUUUGAGAGGGGCUGCUCCUAGUACGAGAGGACCGGAGUGGACGAACCUCUGGUGUUCCGGUUGUCACGCCAGUGGCAUUGCCGGGUAGCUAUGUUCGGAAAAGAUAACCGCUGAAAGCAUCUAAGCGGGAAACUUGCCUCAAGAUGAGAUCUCACUGGAACCUUGA